rnacentral:rRNA from 1 species
UAUCAAUAAGCGGAGGAAAAGAAACCAACAGGGAUUGCUCUAGUAACGGCGAGUGAAGCAGCAAUAGCUCAAAUUUGAAAUCUGGCGUCUUCGACGUCCGAGUUGUAAUUUGUAGAGGAUGCUUCUGAGUAACCACCGACCUAAGUUCCUUGGAACAGGACGUCAUAGAGGGUGAGAAUCCCGUAUGCGGUCGGAAAGGUGCUCUAUACGUAGCUCCUUCGACGAGUCGAGUUGUUUGGGAAUGCAGCUCUAAAUGGGAGGUAAAUUUCUUCUAAAGCUAAAUAUUGGCCAGAGACCGAUAGCGCACAAGUAGAGUGAUCGAAAGAUGAAAAGCACUUUGGAAAGAGAGUUAAAAAGCACGUGAAAUUGUUAAAAGGGAAGGGAUUGCAACCAGACUUGCUCGCGGUGUUCCGCCGGUCUUCUGACCGGUCUACUCGCCGCGUUGCAGGCCAGCAUCGUCUGGUGCCGCUGGAUAAGACUUGAGGAAUGUAGCUCCUUCGGGAGUGUUAUAGCCUCUUGUGAUGCAGCGAGCGCCGGGCGAGGUCCGCGCUUCGGCUAGGAUGCUGGCGUAAUGGUCGUAAUCCGCCCGUCUUGAAACACGGACCAAGGAGUCUAACAUCUAUGCGAGUGUUCGGGUGUCAAACCCCUACGCGUAAUGAAAGUGAACGGAGGUGAGAACCGCAAGGUGCAUCAUCGACCGAUCCUGAUGUCUUCGGAUGGAUUUGAGUAAGAGCAUAGCUGUUGGGACCCGAAAGAUGGUGAACUAUGCCUGAAUAGGGUGAAGCCAGAGGAAACUCUGGUGGAGGCUCGCAGCGGUUCUGACGUGCAAAUCGAUCGUCAAAUUUGGGUAUAGGGGCGAAAGACUAAUCGAACCAUCUAGUAGCUGGUUCCUGCCGA